AAGCGGAGGAAAAGAAACCAACAGGGAUUGCCCCAGUAACGGCGAGUGAAGCGGCAAAAGCUCAAAUUUGAAAUCCUGCGGGAAUUGUAAUUUGAAGGUUUCGUGGUCUGAGUCGGCCGCGCCCAAGUCCAUUGGAACAUGGCGCCUGGGAGGGUGAGAGCCCCGUCUGGCGCACGCCGACUCUUUGCACCGCGGCUCCGACGAGUCGAGUUGUUUGGGAAUGCAGCUCUAAGUGGGUGGUAAAUUCCAUCUAAAGCUAAAUAUUGGCGAGAGACCGAUAGCGAACAAGUACAGUGAUGGAAAGAUGAAAAGCACUUUGAAAAGAGAGUGAAACAGCACGUGAAAUUGUUGAAAGGGAAGGGCUUGCAAGCAGACACGGUUUUACCGGGCCAGCGUCGAAAAGGGGGGAGGAACAAGAACUCGAGAAUGUGGCGCGCACCUUCGGGCGCGCGUGUUAUAGCUCGUGUUGACGCCUCCAUCCCUUUUCGAGGCCUGCGAUUCUAGGACGCUGGCGUAAUGGUUGCAAGCCG
rnacentral:rRNA from 1 species